GGCAGCGGAUGCUCACACACAGCCAGCGAGUGAUGGAGUGGAUUCAAAGCCAGGUAUUCAGAGUCCAGUGUCCUUUCCAAGCGGCACCUCACAAAGAUAAGGCAACUAAGUUCUGAAGAGAAGAAAUACUUGCCCAAGAUCAUCCAGAACAAAUGAAUUAAACUAAAGGUGCUUUGAUUCCUAUAAA